rnacentral:lncRNA from 1 species
CGGGAGAGAAAAUGCCAAUAUCCUUUCACUUAAUUCAGACAACACGUAUAGGAUCAUGUAGCAGUACAUGUGUGUGAUUAGAAACCAACUUCAUUAUGGAAAGGGACAUUUUGUACAAAUUUUAUGAAUGGAAGCUCUUAUUUUCAUAUUUUUGUAUCCUUUUUUAAACUACUAUGAACCUAAUCAUUCAGAAAAAAUAAGUCUCUUAUCAUUAUGUGUGUAAAUAAAAAUUACAUAAGAAGACAUUGCAACCACUUGGGAUGAGUCAAGUGGAUCUGAAACAAUGGUUGUCCUGCUCCAGCCCCUAGUGUACCUCCCUCCUACAAUCCUGCUCCAGCUCCUUGUUUAGCUCGUCAGCUCCUCAUGUUAGCCUUCACGUGCCUAGAGGAAGGAGGCAGGUGCAUAGGAUCUGCAACAACGUCCAGAAAACAAAAAAUACAUAUUUUCCAAAAGACGGACAUACCAAAACUAUCUCAACAAUGAACUAACAUCUAAAACACCAGAAACUGAAGAAUGCGGCAGCAGCACAAAUCUUCUUCAUGAUAAGAAAAGUAAUCUUAAAUUAGACAAGGAUACUGAUAUGCAAAUAUGAGGUCGAAAAAUGUUCAUUUUCCUAGGUACUAACUCGCAACUGGUUUGCAAAUACACUGACUAAAAAGAUCUAUAGAUUAAACAUGAGAUCCUACUGACAAGCACGAAAUGACAUUCUAUUCUAGGUUCAAAUCAGCAAGUAAUAACCACCUUAGUUAGAAGGGUCCCCUGAGCUUGAGGCCAUACAAGUAAGGUGGCCCUGACAAAGAGGAUCUCUUGCUCCAUGGGUCUGUCUGAUAUCCUUCAUUUGUGCAAAACUACUCUGGGCCAUGGGUCUCUUUUGAAAUCUACCACAACAUAUAAUUGCAUGUUCUUGUCCCUGUUCAGUUUCUGCACAACAUUACAACAAUUUGUAAGGCGAUUUAUAAUUUCUCCGCAACAUACAUUUUGUCCAGUCAUGGAAAGUCAAAAAAGAAAAAUCACGAUAGCCGAGUGUUCUAGCUCGAAAAGGAGAUAAAAGAAGUCAUGGUAUUCUUGCUGCAAAAACUAUGGCUCGAUCAGUUUUAAAGUUCGAAUUUUAGUUUGCAGAAACAACUGAAGUGGCAAGUUAUUAGAUAUUCUGCAUCAGAACAGAGUCUUGACUAAAUAAUAACUUACAUAAGCACUGGACCUAUGCAGACCAACUAAAAUAUUCUACAUCAGAACAAAAUACUGACUAAUUAAUAACUGACAUAAGCACUGGACCUGUAAACACUCGCCCUCUGGGACAAAUGCAGAUCAAACUAAACUAAAUAUUCUAUACCAGAACAGAAUCUGGGACAAAUGCAGACCAAAGUCACCAAACUGAACUUAAUUGAAUAUUCUAAACCAGAACAGAAUCUUGAAGACAUAGGUAUGAAAUGGCCAAAAACUGAUUACAAGUAACCUUUGUAUCCUAGCAUUACUACAAAGGAAAAUGGUGGUACUGAUCAUGUGCAUGCAGACACACAGGGAGUGUUUCAUUUACAUUCACCUUUGAUUCUCCAUAUAUUUUACGUGCUCUCCAAUAAAAGAAAAAUAUUUGGAUGGUGAAUUCACAAGCCAAGGACAACUGAAGUUGGUUAUGUGACAUACCGGGUAUGAGUGUGAUGUAUAUAUGGAUUUGAAAUUAAUAUAUUUUCGAGCUCAUCCAUGAUAAGAUCCAUAGCCUUCCAUAUAUGUUUUGUAAGGAUCACCAGACUCAACGUAUAUCACGGGAACUCCAUGAGCGCUAAAACAUGGCAUGAUCUGCAAGUUUCAUGUUCCCUCACAUAUAAUAUUUCAUUCAUAGUGCAUCAACUGAAAAUGAUAAAUCCUAUAUAAAGUCCAGAAAGAAUAAAACAGCAAAGUAGGAGUAAUCGAAGUUAUAUCGGUAUCAGUAGUAAGCCAUUUUUGCUUGACCGCUAUCAUACUAAUUGAGGAUGCAUUCUCCAGGGAGCAAAAAAAAGCAAACUAAUUUUUUGAAUACAUUACAAACACAUCGAGAUAAGAAAAUCUAAAUGAGGCAUCAUGCCAUCAGGAGUCGAGCAAUGGAAACCUAAUGGUGAAAAUACUACAUAGACAACCAUGCCUGCCCAAACUCAUCUAAUACUUCUGUCAAUUAUUGCUCUGCAAUGUUCCAAAUCACAAUGUCUGGCACUAAAUAAAUAAACAUCGGACCCACCAAUGAACUGGCCCACUGGUCAUACACGUGUGGAAAGAGAAAUGCGGUAAAACAUACAUUCAAUAUCUAACGGCUAGGGGAGAAGAGGUGGGAAACUUACCGUGAUCGGACAGUCAGAAAGGGCCCAGUCGUGGGAGCUCUGUGGAGGCAAGUUGGCCAGCCUCCUUAUAGGUUAGAAUGCAUCUGUCAUAUGUAGCCUAGGCAUGAAUCCACAAAUAAGAAAUUUCAAAUUGUAUGAGCUUAAUCACGUGAUGCUGCUAAGAUGCAUGUGAAUGUAGUAAACCAUAUGGGAUGUUCUCAUGCUCUUUUGCAAUAAUAAUCAUAUUAAGCACUGCAGAAUCAGUAGGCUAAUCAUACUCUUUUCCAACAAUUUUAUCAUUUAAUAAAAUUAGGAAGGUACAUAAAAGAUGAUCAGCGCAUCUCUUGCUCCAAGCUCACAAACCCUACAUAUUUUAGCCGUUGCAUCCCUCUGAUAUUGUUUCGUAAGUACUUAAACAACAGCCUAGCAGGAAUAUUUCUUGGCUAUAUUCAGACCAUUAAUCUAAGACUCCAAUUUGUGUGCACCUUAUCAUUAUAUUUAUGCUCAUUUUUUGGCCAAUCCAAUUAGAACCUUCUUAGAGUUACAAAAGGAUUUUUCACCUAUCAAAAAAUUCAAACGCGCAUAGAAGGGAACUGAGCAUAGGUUCAAAUUACCUUCACCAAGGACUAACUGGCAAGCUACUGCAGCUGACAUACAUACCAGUAUAGUGCAACUAUAUACAUCCAUACAAAAUGUAUGCAGCUCUCCUAUGCGCCUGGUCACCUGGGCACACAAAAAAGGACAACAAAAUUAGCAUCAACUAACAGUAGCUAAUACAAGCAGAGCAGAACACACACAAAAGGAAAGUAAGAUUUGAUCAUUGGGAAUAGAAACAUAGUAGGGAACGGGGAGUAGGUUCAAAUGAAAUAGGCCAAAGCCCUAUGCAAGUGUAAAUACUAAAUACCAUAGGAAAAUGAAAGUGGAGUCGAGCAUUUAAAAUUGACAAGGACGAUGCAUGACCACUUGCAACUGAUCCAUGGCACUUAAUUUGCAUAUCUCAAUUAGUUCAUCAAGGAUGUAGGGGGUGGAGAUGGAGAAAGCAAGGAACAUAACAACAUUUAGAAAUCACAUUUUGCAACAAUCUGCAUAAACCCAAAUAAUCACAUUUUGCAACAAUCUGCAUAAACCCAAAUAAUCACAUUUUGCAACAAUCUGCAUAAACCCAAAUAGGGGCUGCAAGCCUCGCUCCUCGGGGGAUAAUCGAGAUUCACCAUAUAGCUAAGACAAUUAGUUCAUCACUGGAUUAUAAAGAAAAGAAAUAUGCCUAGCCUUACAAAAUGUCAUAGCACACACAUUUGGUAGAAACAACAGAAAAUUAUAAACUGUCAGCAACAUAUGAGGAUCUGACAAACAUGGGAUACCAAAACCCAUUUUAAAAAUUUGCAUAUACUUAAUAUCCUGAUGGAAGUAUAUCCACACUACUUGAAAAAGUAAAUAAUCAAACGACACUCACAGAAGAGUUGUAGCUUUUCUAUCGUUUCCACUUUACAAUCCCAACAUAACUAUAUAGUUGUUCUGCAAGUGAUCACAUGACAUGACAAUGGCUUAACACAUAUCCAUCUUUUAUGGCAUGAACACGUGUAUUUCUUGAUUAUAGUUAGUAAUGAGAAGCGAUGGGUAGCUCACUCUUUAACAUCAUCCAUACCAAGAAAAUAUAGUAAAGUGGCCAGAUCCCACUACAAAUAUCACACGUGCAGCUGUGAAAGAGAACUAUUAAGGGAACAGACUUACAUGUAAUGAUGUGGCAUAGGUGUGCAUGCCUCGCCGCGGGAGAUCCUUGUGGGCGGCACCUAAUGAUGCGAGAGUGGUCUCUCUCUAGGCAACCUCAAAGCUACAUGACCACACCAAAAGUUCAAGUCAAUAUUAAAUGUACAUGAUGAUAUAUGACUGCCAACCAAUUAAUCUAGGGAAAGGAAUCAGAUCAAUCAGUUCUCAUCUUACCUAAUUAUUUUUGUUUGCCGAGCAUUUUGUGCCUGCUGCAAUCUUCAAAUAUAUUCUGUAAUCAACCUAUUCAUUGAUACUAAGAAGGAAGAACCGCUGAAUUAUCUGAGGACAAUAGAAAACAUAACCAAUUAGUAAGAAAAUAAAGCCUUAUCCACAUCCAAGUUACAAUAUAAACAGUUCUACUGAUGGUCUAAAUUGGGUACAAAUAUAUGUGCAAGGGAGGUGACAUGCCACACCGUGAGCUUUCAUUUUACUGAACAAUCCAGAAAUAAUAACAGAAAAGUUCAUAUCAGCCAUGACUAAACUACAUAUCAACCAUAGAUUUUGUUCAACCAUUAAUUUACAGCCCAAGCAUUGCUACUGCUAUUUUUUCACUCUUAAUUUGCUUCAAUUUUGCAAUCUCCCACGGCAAGGCCAUGAAUAGGAAUCACAAGAGGACAAUCAGCCCCAACUCAGAUAAGCUAAUGGAGAAAUCUGCCAUUGUUUUGCCAACAAAAUCAGAUCAAACAAGAGAGAAAAUCUACACCCUAAAUCAGAUAAGCUAAUGGAGAAAUCUGCAAUUGUUUUGCCAACAAAAUCAGAUAAAACAAGAGAGGAAGUAUACAUGAAAACAAAUCAUGCAAUGCCCGCGUAUAUAGUGUCAAUCAGCAUUGGACAACCUUAUAAUCAGAGAACAAGGCUUGUAUCCAUAUUUUAACAGGAAUAUUGUGUGUUCAUUUUACAUCACAACAAUAUGGGGUGCCCGAAAUAUCACAACAAACAAAAAUCAAACACAUAAGCGGCAGUGCCAUCUACUCAUACCUGAUGUUCUUUAGCAAUACUAUCAUAAGACACAUCUAUCUAGUUCUGAAAUCUCUGUAGGCACUUUUCCUACAAUGGAAAAUGCCGCACAAACUUAGCUGUAUAACAACGAACAACUUUUAUAUAUAACAACCUAGCUGUAUACCAAUGAACAAGAGAGGAAGUGGAGGCAAACCUGAACCAUCUCGAGCUCCUUGCUCCUACCGCUGCUGCUCCGUCGACCACAUCCGCCACUCCGCCGACCCCUGCUGCUUCUGGCCUCUCCAUAUACGCUCUGAAAACAGUUCAUCUCAAACUCUGAAGGUAACAGUGUCAUUUCAAAUUCUGAAACUAACACUACAACUUUAUAAAUGGUUCAUCUCAAUAAGCAAGUAGGACUCAACUAAGUACAUAAUUUAAGCCAAUACAACAUAUUAAAGCAUCAAAGCAUAAGUAAGAAAUAAAAGGAGGGAGAAGGGAGAGAAGAUACCACCACAGGAACCAAAUCGAAGCACCAUACUCUGAAGAACUGCCUGGCUGCAGCAAGCCCAUAUUGUCAUGGCGCAGAUCAGAUAUUCCUGGUCAUGGCAAACAAUACCACGUGCACUACCAGAUCAAUCUUGAGUCCGAAACACCCUCUAAAAAA